rnacentral:rRNA from 1 species
UACGGGGGGGGCAAGCGUUGUUCGGAAUUACUGGGCGUAAAGGGCUCGUAGGUGGCCAACUAAGUCAGACGUGAAAUCCCUCGGCUUAACCGGGGAACUGCGUCUGAUACUGGAUGGCUUGAGAUUGGGAGAGGGACGCGGAAUUCCAGGUGUAGCGGUGAAAUGCGUAGAUAUCCGGAAGAACACCGAUGGCGAAGGCAACCACCUGGGCCUGUACUGACGCUGAGGUACGAAAGCGUGGGGAGCAAACAGG